rnacentral:lncRNA from 1 species
GGAAGCCAAAAGAUUGGACACCCAUAUUCUAGACCUAUAAGUAGACUCCAGUCCCGCAAUCCCCUAAGGAUUCAAGAUGGAUUGGCAUCAAAGUUCACUUCUUUAACAAAAGUGCUUUAUGACCUUAAUAAAAUAUUAGAGAAUGGUAGGAUCCAUGGAAGCCCUUUACAAAAACUUGUGAUAGAAAGUUUUGAUGAUAAGCAGACUUUGCAACAACUGGAAUUGCAAAAUGACCCAAUUUUACAAAGCUUCCAGAAUGCAGUUAGUGAAACAAAGAUGAAGAUAUCAGUAUCCCAGAGAGUGAAGAACAGGAGCAUGAAGAGGAUGGUUCAGAGACAGAGGCUGAUGGCCAGGAGGACCUAGAAGAUUUAGAGGAGGAGGAGGAAGUGUCAGAUAUGGGUGGUGACAAUCCUGAAGUGAGUGAGAGAGCAAACUCAAGCAAAUUCGAUCCGACGAAAAGCCCAGUUCUCAGUGAUGAGGAUUCUGACCUUGACUUUCAUAUCAACAAAUUGGAACAGCAGAGCAAGGUGCGAAACAAAGGACACGGGAAACCAAGAGAAAAGUCCAUAGCAGACGAGAAAUUCUUCCAACUCUCUGAAAUGGAGGCCUAUUUAGAAAACAGAAAAAGAAGAGGAACGAAAAGAUGUCAGGUAAAAGUUCCAGAAAUGUGAAGGACAAAGACUUUUUUUGAUCCAGUUGAAAGUGAUGAAGACAUAGCAAGUGAUGAUGAUGAUGAUCUGGGUUCAAACAAGCUGAUGAAAUUGCUGAAGAAGCAGCAGAAGAACUAAGCAUUUCUGAAAUCAUGUCUCUUCUGACAAAGCUGUCCCGACAGCCUCUUCUUGUAACUGUUUUGACUGCUCCGGAGGAUGCCGCCUAUGUCUUUAAGGUGCUCCACAGAUUUUGAUGAAUGAAAAAAAUUACACCUUUAGAAAAAGAGUUGUUAUAAAAAAGCCUUGGUUGCGUCUGGGGGAAGUGACAGCACAGAAGAGACCAGAGAAUAGCCUGCUGGAGGAGACCCUGCACUUUGACCAUGCUGUCCGGAUGGUGCCUGUGAUUACAGAGGAAAUACCUUUCAACUGGAAGAUAUCAUUAAACACAGGAAAAGAGAUCAG